AUUGAACGCUGGCGGCAGGCUUAACACAUGCAAGUCGAGCGGGGAAGGGUAGCUUGCUACGUGACCUAGCGGCGGACGGGUGAGUAAUGCUUAGGAAUCUGCCUAUUAGUGGGGGACAACAUUCCGAAAGGAAUGCUAAUACCGCAUACGCCCUACGGGGGAAAGCAGGGGAUCUUCGGACCUUGCGCUAAUAGAUGAGCCUAAGUCAGAUUAGCUAGUUGGUGGGGUAAAGGCCUACCAAGGCGACGAUCUGUAGCGGGUCUGAGAGGAUGAUCCGCCACACUGGGACUGAGACACGGCCCAGACUCCUACGGGAGGCAGCAGUGGGGAAUAUUGGACAAUGGGCGCAAGCCUGAUCCAGCCAUGCCGCGUGUGUGAAGAAGGCCUUUUGGUUGCAAAGCACUUUAAGCGAGGAGGAGGCUACUUGGAUUAAUACUCUAGGAUAGUGGACGUUACUCGCAGAAUAAGCACCGGCUAACUCUGUGCCAGCAGCCGCGGUAAUACAGAGGGUGCGAGCGUUAAUCGGAUUUACUGGGCGUAAAGCGUGCGUAGGCGGCUUUUUAAGUCGGAUGCGAAAUCCCUGAGCUUAACUUAGGAAUUGCAUUCGAUACUGGGAAGCUAGAGUAUGGGAGAGGAUGGUAGAAUUCCAGGUGUAGCGGUGAAAUGCGUAGAGAUCUGGAGGAAUACCGAUGGCGAAGGCAGCCAUCUGGCCUAAUACUGACGCUGAGGUACGAAAGCAUGGGGAGCAAACAGG
rnacentral:rRNA from 1 species